GAUGAACGCUGGCGGCGUGCCUAAUACAUGCAAGUCGAGCGAACAGACGAGGAGCUUGCUCCUCUGAUGUUAGCGGCGGACGGGUGAGUAACACGUGGAUAACCUACCUAUAAGACUGGGAUAACUUCGGGAAACCGGAGCUAAUACCGGAUAACAUGUUGAACCGCAUGGUUCAACAGUGAAAGACGGUCUUGCUGUCACUUAUACAUGGAUCCGCGCCGCAUUAGCUAGUUGGUAAGGUAACGGCCUACCAAGGCAACGAUGCGUAGCCGACCUGAGAGGGUGAUCGGCCACACUGGAACUGAGACACGGUCCAGACUCCUACGGGAGGCAGCAGUAGGGAAUCUUCCGCAAUGGGCGAAAGCCUGACGGAGCAACGCCGCGUGAGUGAAGAAGGUCUUCGGAUCGUAAAACUCUGUUACUAGGGAAGAACAAAUGUGUAAGUAACUAUGCACGUCUUGACGGUACCUAAUCAGAAAGCCACGGCUAACUACGUG
rnacentral:rRNA from 1 species